ACGUAGGGUGCAAGCGUUGUCCGGAAUUAUUGGGCGUAAAGAGCUCGUAGGCGGUCCGUCGCGUCGGCUGUGAAAUCCCGAGGCUCAACCUCGGGUCUGCAGUCGAUACGGGCAAACUGGAGUGUUGCAGGGGAGACUGGAAUUCCUGGUGUAGCGGUGAAAUGCGCAGAUAUCAGGAGGAACACCGGUGGCGAAGGCGGUCGACUGGGCCAGUACUGACGCUGAGGCGCGACAGCGUGGGGAGCAAACAGGA
rnacentral:rRNA from 1 species